rnacentral:rRNA from 1 species
UACGUAGGGGCAAGCGUUGUCCGGAUUUAUUGGGCGUAAAGAGCGUGUAGGCGGUCCGUUAAGUCGGCUGUGAAAGUCCAAGGCUCAACCUUGGGAUGCCGGUCGGUACUGCCGGACUAGAGUUCGGAAGAGGCGAGUGGAAUUCCUGGUGUAGCGGUGAAAUGCGCAGAUAUCAGGAGGAACACCAAUUGCGAAGGCAGCUCGCUGGGACGUAACUGACGCUGAGACGCGAAAGCGUGGGGAGCAAACAGG